UACGUAGGGUGCAAGCGUUGUCCGGAAUUAUUGGGCGUAAAGAGCUCGUAGGCGGUUUGUCGCGUCGGCUGUGAAAUCCCGAGGCUCAACCUCGGGCCUGCAGUCGAUACGGGCAAACUAGAGUGUGGUAGGGGAGACUGGAAUUCCUGGUGUAGCGGUGAAAUGCGCAGAUAUCAGGAGGAACACCGGCGGCGAAGGCGGGUCUCUGGGCAAUAACUGACGCUGAGGAGCGAAAGCGUGGGGAGCGAACAGG
rnacentral:rRNA from 1 species